rnacentral:rRNA from 1 species
UACGGAGGGUGCGAGCGUUGUCCGGAAUCACUGGGCGUAAAGGGCGCGUAGGCGGUCUGCUAAGCGUGCGGUGAAAGCCUGGGGCUCAACCCCAGGUCUGCCGUGCGAACUGGUGGACUAGAGCACUGUAGAGGCAGGUGGAAUUCCGGGUGUAGCGGUGGAAUGCGUAGAGAUCCGGAAGAACACCGGUGGCGAAGGCAGGUCUCUGGGCUGGACACUGACGCUCAUGCACGAAAGCGUGGGGAGCAAACAGG